rnacentral:misc_RNA from 1 species
GAUGAAGAACGUAGCGAAAUGCGAUAAGUAAUGUGAAUUGCAGAAUUCAGUGAAUCAUCGAGUCUUUGAACGCACAUUGCGCCCUCUGGUAUUCCGGAGGGCAUGCCUGUCCGAGCGUCAUUGCUGCCCUCAAGCACGGCUUGUGUGUUGGGCUCCGUCCCCCGAUCCCGGGGGACGGGCCCGAAAGGCAGCGGCGGCACCGCGUCCGGUCCUCGAGCGUAUGGGGCUUUGUCACCCGCUCUGUAGGCCCGGCCGGCGCUUGCCGAUCAACCAAAUUUUUAUCCAGGUUGACCUCGGAUCAGGUAGGGAUACCCGCUGAACUUAAGCAUAUCAAUAAGCGGAGA